rnacentral:rRNA from 1 species
GAUGAACGCUGACAGAAUGCUUAACACAUGCAAGUCAACUUGAAUUUGGGUUUUUACCUUAGGUUUGGGUGGCGGACGGGUGAGUAACGCGUAAAGAACUUGCCUCACAGCUAGGGACAACAUUUGGAAACGAAUGCUAAUACCUAAUAUUAUGAUAAUAGGGCAUCCUAUAAUUAUGAAAGCUAUAAGCGCUGUGAGAGAGCUUUGCGUCCCAUUAGCUAGUUGGAGAGGUAACGGCUCACCAAGGCGAUGAUGGGUAGCCGGCCUGAGAGGGUGAUCGGCCACAAGGGGACUGAGACACGGCCCUUACUCCUACGGGAGGCAGAAGUGGGGAAUAUUGGACAAUGGACCAAGAGUCUGAUCCAGCAAUUCUGUGUGCACGAUGAAGUUUUUCGGAAUGUAAAGUGCUUUCAGUUGGGAAGAAAGAAAUGACGGUACCAACAGAAGAAGUGACGGCUAAAUACGUG